AAGGACAGAGAGAGAGGGGAAAAGGGAGACAGAGAGAGAGAGAGAGAGAGGUAAAGGGAGAGAGAGAGAGAGAGAGAGAGAGAGAGAGGUAAAGGGAGAGAGAGAGAGGGGGGGGGACAGAGAGAGAGGGGUAAAGAGAGAGAGAGAGAGAGGUAAAGGGAGAGAGAGAGAGAGAGGGACAGAGAGAGAGAGAGGUAAAGGGAGAGGGAGAGAGUGAAUAAGAGAGAGAGCGAGAGAGAGAGAGAGGGAGAGGUAAAGGGAGAGAGAGCAAGUGAAUAAGAGAGAGAGCGAGAGACAGAGAGAGAGCGGUAAAGGGAGAGGGAGAGCGAGUGAAUAAGAGAGAGAGCGAGAGAGAGAGAGAGAG
ensembl:lncRNA